rnacentral:rRNA from 1 species
UACGGGGGGGGCAAGCGUUGUUCGGAAUUACUGGGCGUAAAGGGCUCGUAGGCGGCCAACUAAGUCAUACGUGAAAUCCCUCGGCUUAACCGGGGAACUGCGUCUGAUACUGGUUGGCUUGAAUCCGGGAGAGGGAUGUGGAAUUCCAGGUGUAGCGGUGAAAUGCGUAGAUAUCUGGAGGAACACCGGUGGCGAAGGCGGCAUCCUGGACCGGUAUUGACGCUGAGGAGCGAAAGCCAGGGGAGCAAACGGG